rnacentral:rRNA from 1 species
AUUGAACGCUGGCGGAAUGCUUUACACAUGCAAGUCGAACGGCAGCACGGACUUCGGUCUGGUGGCGAGUGGCGAACGGGUGAGUAAUGUAUCGGAACGUGCCCAGUCGUGGGGGAUAACGUAGUGAAAAUUACGCUAAUACCGCAUACGAUCUAUGGAUGAAAGCGGGGGAUCGCAAGACCUCGCGCGAUUGGAGCGGCCGAUAUCAGAUUAGGUAGUUGGUGGGGUAAAGGCCCACCAAGCCAACGAUCUGUAGCUGGUCUGAGAGGACGACCAGCCAGACUGGAACUGAGACACGGUCCAGACUGCUACGGGAGGCAGCAGUGGGGAAUUUUGGACAAUGGGCGAAAGCCUGAUCCAGCCAUACCGCGUGCAGGAUGAAGGCCCUCGGGUUGUAAACUGCUUUUGUACAGAACGAAAAGGUUUCUACUAAUACUAGGAGCUCAUGACGGUACUGUAAGAAUAAGCACUGGCUAACUACGUGCCAGCCGCCGCAGUAA